GCACAGUCUCCGCCUGGGAAGGGCAGUGGGGGCUGCCAGGUUACUGCCUCUGCGUGGACUUCACUCUUUCGGAGGUGCUUGGGCUUUGUGUUGCUUGGUCCUAUUCGCAAAUCUGUGAGGUUACCGCUGAGUCACCUGGAGAAGAGGAACCUGAAACUUGAAAUGGUUUUCCUAUUUAUGGAAAGAAAACUAUUUAGGUGAUGCAGUAACUUUUACACUGGCUGAUGUUCUUCCUUCCAAGUGGAUUACAGCCCAGCGGUGGCCCACCUUGCCAGGUGUUUCCGUUGUCACCAUCCAUCCACAUCACGAUUCAGCUUGUCGUUGUCCUGAGUUCUCAAGUUGCCCCUGAUAUCUGUGAUCAGUGGCUCUAGCAGUCACCUUUUCAGCUGGUCUCAGCUCAUGGAAGUGCCUGCCCUUCUGGGAUUCCACCUCCAUCCACACUUUCCACAUUCUAUGUUUGACGGGCACGACCCAGACCUUGUGAUUCUGUACUGAUGUCCUCUGUGGUCCUUCUCUGUUAUCCACCGUAGAUGUUGGGGUUUUGAACACCAAUAUGUCCCAUCUGGAUCACAUUGAUAGGUUUAUAACAGAUCUCUCCACCUACAGUUUGUUUUCCUCAAAUUUUCCUCUUAUUGUUCUCAGUAAUUGGGAAAAAUGAAAAUUUAGUCAUCUGACUGCUUCCCACUCCUUGUUUCAAGCCCCCACUGGCUUUUCAUUGAUUUCAGACAAAAAAAAUU